rnacentral:rRNA from 1 species
GAACGCUGGCGGCAGGCUUAACACAUGCAAGUCGAGCGGAAACGAUGGGAGCUUGCUCCCAGGCGUCGAGCGGCGGACGGGUGAGUAACGCGUAGGAAUCUACCCAGUAGAGGGGGAUAGCCCGGUGAAAACCGGAUUAAUACCGCAUACGCCCCACGGGGGAAAGGCCGGGAUCUUCGGACCGGUCACUAUUGGAUGAGCCUGCGUAAGAUUAGCUAGUUGGUAGGGUAAAAGCCUACCAAGGCGACGAUCUUUAGCUGGUCUGAGAGGAUGAUCAGCCACAUCGGGACUGAGACACGGCCCGAACUCCUACGGGAGGCAGCAGUGGGGAAUAUUGGACAAUGGGGGCAACCCUGAUCCAGCAAUACCGCGUGUGUGAAGAAGGCCUGAGGGUUGUAAAGCACUUUCAAUUGUGAAGAAAAGUUAGCGGUUAAUAACCGUUAGCCUUGACGUUAACUUUAGAAGAAGCACCGGCUAACUCCGUGCCAGCAGCCGCGGUAAUACGGAGGGUGCAAGCGUUAAUCGGAAUUACUGGGCGUAAAGCGUGCGUAGGCGGUUUAUUAAGUCAGAUGUGAAAGCCCCGGGCUUAACCUGGGAACUGCAUUUGAAACUGGUAAACUAGAGUAUGGUAGAGGAAAGUGGAAUUUCUGGUGUAGCGGUGAAAUGCGUAGAUAUCAGAAGGAACAUCAAUGGCGAAGGCAGCUUUCUGGACCAAUACUGACGCUGAGGUACGAAAGCGUGGGUAGCAAACAGGAUUAGAUACCCUGGUAGUCCACGCCGUAAACGAUGAUAACUAGCCGUUGGGGGGAUUUACCCUUUAGUGGCGAAGCUAACGCGUUAAGUUAUCCGCCUGGGGAGUACGGCCGCAAGGUUAAAACUCAAAGGAAUUGACGGGGACCCGCACAAGCGGUGGAGCAUGUGGUUUAAUUCGAUGCAACGCGAAGAACCUUACCUGGUCUUGACAUCCUGCGAACUUUCUAGAAAUAGAUUGGUGCCUUCGGGAACGCAGUGACAGGUGCUGCAUGGCUGUCGUCAGCUCGUGUCGUGAGAUGUUGGGUUAAGUCCCGUAACGAGCGCAACCCCUAUCCUUAUUUGCCAGCACAUCAUGGUGGGAACUAUAAGGAGACUGCCGGUGAUAAACCGGAGGAAGGCGGGGACGACGUCAAGUCAUCAUGGCCCUUACGACCAGGGCUACACACGUGCUACAAUGGGAAGGACAAAGAGCCGCGAAGCCGCGAGGUGUAGCUAAUCUCAUAAACCUUUUCGUAGUCCGGAUUGGAGUCUGCAACUCGACUCCAUGAAGUCGGAAUCGCUAGUAAUCGUAGAUCAGAAUGCUACGGUGAAUACGUUCCCGGGUCUUGUACACACCGCCCGUCAUACCAUGGGAGUGGGUUGCACCAGAAGUGGCUAGUCUAACUUAGUGAGGACGGUCACCACGGUGUGAUUCAUGACUGGGGUAAAGUCGUAACAAGGUAGCCGUA